rnacentral:tRNA from 1 species
UGGGGUGUGGCUCAGUGAUAGAGCACUUGCCUAGUGUGCACAGGGCCCUGGGUUCAAGCCCCAACCCCCCAA